UUUCCUGACCCUCUCCGCCAUUUAAAGAAACAGUACCGGGGGCGGGCCGAGCGACGCAGCCGGGACGGUAGCUGCGGUGCGGACCGGAGGAGCCAUCUUGUCUCGUCGCCGGGGAGUCAGGCCCCUAACUCGAAGAAGCCCUGGCGCGCCCUCCCCCCCUCCCGGGUCUGGUAGGGCGAAGGAACGGGCGUGCGGUCGAUCGAGCGAUCGGUUGGCGGCUCUUUCUCCUGCUCUGGCAUCCAGCUCUUGGGGCGCAGGCCCGGCCGCCGCGGCGCGCGCCCGGUGGCCGUUGGCGCUCGCGCCGCGUCUUUCUUCUCGUACGCAGAACUCGGGCGGCGGCCUAUGCGUUUGCGAUUCGACGAGGAGUCGUCCGGGUGGUCGGCGGCGGCGGGCAGCUGCUCCGCCCCGCUCCGGGGGAGGCGGCGGCGGCAGCGGCCGCGGGAUUUGGAGCGGCCGGGGAGGCGGGGGUGGCCGGGGCCGGCUUGGAGGCCUGGCGCCACCCUUCGGGGCCUGCAAGGACCCAGUUGGGGGGGCAGGAGGGGGCCGGAGGAUGGUUGGUUGUGGGAUUUCUACUUUGCCUUUUCCUUCUUAUGCCGCCUUAGUGAGGGGCGGGAGCUCUGGCGGCAGCCCCGGGGUGGGGAGACGAGCUCCGGAGUCGGAAGAGGUGGGUUUGCUUCCGGGCCUAGCCACCAGCUGGCGGAGUGACCUUAGGCGAGUCACUCUGUAAUUUUUCUGCGCCUCAGUUUCCUCCUCUGCCUAUCAAUGUGUGUGGGGUUGAAAGCGCUUUGUAAACUCUAAAGCGUGGGUGUACGUAAAGGAUGGUUAUUGUUUGUAUUUUUUUUUGAGUUGUAAGAAAACUUAGCAGUUCCCCAAUCCUUGGGUUUUGAACCUGGAAACCUUGGAUUGGAGUUGGGGAUCCCCAAACUCCCUGAAAUUGUGGGAAUGUGUGGUUUGGGGGAAUGAUGGGAAUUUGUGGGAAUGUGCGUUUUAGGGGAAUGAUGAUCCAUCGCUAGCAAGUUUUCCAAGGGGGCUGUGACCCAGAAGAGUUAAAAAUCACAAUUUCUUCAUGCUACAGAGAGGAAACUGAGGCCUAGAUGUCAUUUGGGACCCUUCACAACCAAUUUGAAGCCCCUGUUUGAGUCCCUGGGAUAUGUGAGCUGUUUCUAUGCAUAAUGGAUAUUCGGGGUAACAACAGUCCCCUGCUUGGCUUCUAUUCUGAAUCCUUUUCUUUCACCAUGGGGUGCCUGAAGGGUGGCUGAUGCAUAUGGUACAAUGGCACCCAGUGUAAAGCAGCUGCAAUUAGGAGUGGAUGUGUUCUGUAGCAUCCUAUUUAAAUAAGCCUGUUUAAUCUUUGGCCCGGCAACUUUUUUCUGCUGCUUGUACCGGUGCCUGACUACCUUUCUGACUCUCAUUGACCAUAUUCCAUGACCAUGGUUGUCAUCCGUUACUUGAUCCUACUUUACGUGUCUAGUCUGUGUGGUUGGUGGUGAAUAGGCUUCUUUUCACAUGGUGCUGCCAAGCCCAGCUAAUUAAUGGUGCACGUGGACUUUUAGCAAGUGGGCUCACUGGAAGAGACUGUACCUGGCAUGGAAUUCCUGAAGAUGUUUGGGUUUUUUUUCUUUCUUAAUCGAAGGUUAACAUUUUCUGAAAAGUUUUGUUAGAACUACUGCGGAACCUCAAAAUCAGUAGAUUUGGAAGUGAUUCAAAGCUUAACUUUUUAACCUUGGCCCUGCUUGUGUUCUAAUUGCUUGCAAGUGUAAUACUAAGAUGUCCAAGAUGCUAGUUUUUGCUUCUUUGUUAAUUGUCAGCUGCUUUUAUCAAAUUUCAGGCCAUUAUCCAACAAACACUAUAAAAAUGUUUGAACAGUUGGAUUUCAAACAUUUUCGUUUUGUGGAGUGGUGCUCACCAAGUGGUACAGCCCUAAGCAAGUGAACACAAACACAUUUAAGUGUAUUUUGUCUGAUUAGAUGUUAGCCGGUUAUGCUAUUUCAUUCAAAUGUCUGAAAAAAUCAAUUGACUAUUCCCUUUUCCUAAAGGGCAGAGACAAAUGAUCUCACUUCCAGAGAAAUGACUGUUUUGGAGGAAAAAAGUGUUGGUCUUUUUGCUCUUUUGUAAUUAAAUCUGGAUGUACCUCAAAAGACUCUUAAGACUGUGGUGAUAAGAUGCUUUCCUCAGCAGAAAGGAGGAAAAAAAAAAAAACUGGAACUCAAAGCUUGAAAUUCUGUGGCAAAACAUGAGAUGUCCAGGAUUGGAGGUUGAAAAGAUUUCACUACAGUGUUCUACAAUAGUUGGAGCAGAUAACUUUCAGUGUAGCCACAGCCGUGGACUCCAGAUUUCCAGAUUUUCAAGAACUGGACUUGGAACCCGAAAGAGCUUAUCAGGAUGUGGCAGGAACACUGGAGGUAGAUAUUUUUUUUAUUUUUGAAUUUUGGGACUGUUGACCUUGCUGUGAGAAAAGAGACAACGACUGAGCAAGCACUACCACCAGCACUGUUACUGGGAAUUAGAAGACCUGAGUUUCUGUCCAGACCCUCAGUGGAAACUGAGGACACUCCAUCCAAAGUGAAUUAUGGUACUUGCCAUUUUCCAAAAUGCGUUUUUCUUUACCAUCUCUGCACUUUUGUUCAUACUCUCUUUCUACUUUGGAAAUGCUCCUCUCUGGCUUUUCAUCUGUCAAAACUGUCAUUUUCUCAGUAUCCAACUCUUAUGGUCUCUUUUCCAUGAGUCUCCUAACUAGCCAGAAUAGAACUUUUAAGUUUUAGGACAUUUUGUUAUGUAUCCUCUGUCUGUAUACAGAAUCCUGUAAAAUAGUUACUUGCCUGCAUUUUCUGUCUUUGCAGAUAGCAGACUCCUUGAAAGCAGAGUCCUUGUUUAGUGCAUCUUUCCCACAUACUCCACAACAUACCAUGAAACAUUUAUUAGGAAGGAGGAGUUUAGAGAGCAGGCUAUCAGAAUAACCACUCAGUGUUUUCUUAAUUGUUAUGUGAUAACUAAAAUUACUCUUAAUGAGAAGAAAAGUCGCUAGAUAUGGGUCAUGUUUCUUUAUGUUUUAAUGUUUUUUGAUUCUAAAUUUUGAUCCAGAGAGCCCUCAGACAUAAGGAGAAAUCAAUAUAUUGAAUGGGGUGUUACAUGCAGAAGGACCAAGACCUUAUUUUCUCCUACUUGAGAUGAAAUCUUGUUAAGGUGAAAGGACAGCUUUUUAAAAGGAGACGGUCAUAAGACAAUUUGAGGAAGGCAUUGGAAGAGGAAGAGGGGCAAUUAUAUCUCCUUUGUUUUAUUGUUGGUAUAUAAACUUAAAAUCUCACUUCUUUUUAUGCCACUUGUGGAGCCACUUCCUCUCCCCACCAAAAAAUGCCCAGCACCCUGAAUCCAAUCAGAUUACUUUCCCAAAGUAUGAGGCUUAGUUUCUGUUUGCUGCUUCACUGAGACAGUUCCCACAAGUUGAGAGUGUUAAUCAGGCUUUUGUGUGUUCUUUUUUGGAUUGUUGUUGUUUGUUUUCAUUUAUCAUUUGUCUUUGCCUAAGCCAGGCUCAUCAAGAAUUAACAGCCAUCAGGCUACUGAUGUACUGACAGCAGACCCACUUAGAGUCCUGUGUUUGUAAUUCCAUGCAUUUGUUAUCUUACCUGUUUUGUCCCUGCCCCUUCUAGUCCUGUGCCUCCUGAUUGCUGAGUGUUCACCUGGACCUUCUGACUACCUUCCCUGUGCUAUUCCAUCAGCCUACAGACCUGGUACCUGGAUUUUUGCCCGAGAUGAUUCCUACCACCUUACUACUGAAGAAGACACCCAUUCCAGUGGACCACUGUGACCCAGGAGGCAUUCAGCCAUCAUGAUGUGGCCUUUACCUCCACUCCUGUCCUGUUCUACCCAGAUUCAGCACAGCCCUUUAUAGUGAAGUCAGAGUCCUCAAGCCAAAUAGCUAAAGCUGUUUUAUCACAACAAAGGCCUAGUUUGUUCCAUGAGUGUGCAUUUCAUUUCUUCAGUUAAAGCCUUCAGAGACACAUAAUAAAUUUGGACCAGGGGAUUUUUUAGUUAUUAAUGCUCUCUGAAGAAAGGGAACAUCUUUUUGAGAGCAGCAUUGGACCAUACCCCACAAUCUCAAAUGAUUGAAAUUCAUGAACAUCUAGGAUCCCAUGAAGGUCACUGGACCCUGUUUUUUCUACUUCAAAUCCUGUAGUAGCCUACUGAAUGAGAAAACAUAUUCUGACCCAUUGGGAUCAAAUCAAAGGCACAGUGAACUCCUCAUAGCAUCUUCUUUGGAAUUACUCAGGAACCAGAACUUUUUACACAAAUGUAAGAAAUUCUACCAAGGAGUCCCGUUACCUAAGCAUCUCACAAGGCUGCAUCAGAUUCCAGAAAAGGCUUCUCUUGAUACAUCAAGGUAGAACCUCUAUGCAUUUUGUGACCGACUUAUUCUUAGAUCAUUGGUUUUCCAAAGGCUUUGUGGCCAUGAAGCCCUUUGAGUGAAAACUGCAGAAGCCCAGAGUAAAAGUGAAGCUGCUCUGGAUGAAGCAGUGAAGCAAGAGUAGGGGCCUGAAGCCUGCUACAACUAUCUUCCUUUGCCACCGUGGUGACACCUAAGGGGACUUCCUUACAACACCUUGAACUCUCCGGAACACAGUUUGAAAACCACUGCCCCAGACAGCAAUAUGUUUGACCUGAAUGGCAUUCCAAUCUUUUCUGUACCUCCACUCAGCACAGUUCAUGUUCAGUUGAUGCUGAACAUUCUUAGAAAUACUGUGUUUGAACUUAGAAAAGUGCAAGAAGACAGGCAUGUCUUUGACCCCAGGAAUGAUCAUGGGCUGAAAGUGGUGUCAAGUGAACCUAGAUUAACAGCCCUCCACUCCAGAUGGAUAUCCAGUGAUUCCUAGAAUGGGAUAUAGCCAGAGAACAAUUCUAUGCACCCUACACUGACAGACUCCCUUAAGCAACUUCUUUCACAAACACCAGAUGCUCUACUGGUACUUGAAGUACAUGACUUUGAAGUCUUGACCCUCCAUGGAUACCUGAAUUGCCAGCAAGCGGGUUUUGAAGCUGGUGCCUCAUUGAGGGCAUAUUAGAGCAACUUGUACAUUUGACCUCUUGUUAUCAACCAUGGUACUCUACUUCGUGUACAAGAGAUAACUAUGAAAGCCGAAUUCAAAUACUGGCAACAUUUCCUAAAGGGGCUCAAUAUCUAUCAUCUUCUUUUCCAAACUACACAUCACUGUAUGACUCAACCAGUAGCAGUUAUAUUGCCCCUUGGUUUUUAUUCAGUUUAACUACUGUUUCCAAGAUCAAUGAGCUAAUAACCUUAAAAAAAAAAAAAAAAAAGCAAUUAUUUUUUCUUCAUCACUGGCAUAUCUGCCUAUUCUCCAGAAUUAUUAUGACUACUCAGCUCACUUUUAACAGUUGAUCUUCAAGAGACAAUCUUUGAACACCCCUCCUCAUGUGAUUUAAAAUGAAACCAUUUGGAAAAGUUUCUUCUAGCCAAUAAUAGAUUUUUUUUUAAUUGCUCUGCCUUGUGCCGAGAGAUGUUAUUUUAAGAUGAAUCUUUUGAUGUCUGAUACCACCAACUGUAGAUGGUAGGGAUAGUUGGAGGCUGGCCCUUUGAGCAGGCCAUGAUAGCUUACUUGCUGGGCAUUUCAGAUAGCUUAUUGCCUACCCUUUUGCUGGAAACAGACUGAUUUGAAAAACAAAAUCUAUGAAGACUGCAGCUAAGGAUUUUAUCAGUAGACUUAAGAGCUUUUGUCCUUGUGGAUAUUUUAGUGGAACCACAACAGUCUUAAUACUGUCAUUUUACACUGACUCAGAGCAGCUGACGUCAUUCCUUGCCAUGAUAUAUAUUUAAGGCAGGCAUUGUAACAGACAUUAAGACAACUUAUCUGUUUCAGCAGGAAGGAUUCAGUUUAUGGACUCUCAGACCGGAUCAUGUUGAACAAGGCGAUUUUGAUAUGUGUCAUGAGAAAACUCAUCCUUUACUUCCCAGUCAAUUUAAAGGCCAGCUAUCCUGAGCUACUCGAAUGAAUGCGCUGGUUAAACAUUGGGGAUAGUUUAUAUCCUCUCUCUCUAGGCCAGUUGUGAUUACAUGACUCCACUCUAUAUCUUGUCAAACAAGGCCUAAGUCUGGUUGCUGUAGACUGCUCACUCUCAACAAAUCAAAAUAAAAUCUGGAUGACUAGCCUGCUUGUAUAUACAACUAUUAUUUGUAAGAAGAAAUUAUCUUCAAUUUUCUACUAUCUUCAAAUUGUCAGCUUUUUUCCUCUCUGAUUUUUCCUGUGCUUUACAGAAAAAGACAUUGAUCUAUACUGCCAAUCCCUCUAAUCCUGCCAACUCAUUCAAAAUGAAUGACUUAAGAUGAAGAUGAUCAUCUGCUCAAGAGUCUAAAAUAUACAUUGUAAAUAAGAAUUGGUGAUUAGAAAAGCAAAAAACCUGAAACUUAAACCUAGGAGUUUGCCUACUAUCUCCAUGUCUCCAUGCUUCAGAUCUCAUCUGAAUCUUUGAACAGCACCAUUCAACCAAUCUGAGACCUUGGCUUGCUUGUAAGAUGAUUCUCAGAGAUCGGCUGAGUUAAAAAAGAUGACGACUUGAUUACCAAAGAAAGUAGGGCCAACUUUGACAAACCUGGCUCUGCUGACCCUGUCAUUCCCAGAUGUAGCAUAGACUCCUAAACAGAACCUCAAGUCUGAUUGAGGAUAAGGCCUUCUCCUGAGCUGAAAGUUCUUUGGCAGAUGAGCAAGAAACUGAAAGCUGAUGUACCUGACUGGCUCUGUAAGAUCAGAAAACUGUAUCCAGAAUAAGCCCUAUGGAUUAACCCCUGAGUACCCAGGGUAAAAACUAAUUUACAGA